UUCCGUCUCAGGCCGCCACUACGAGAGGAGCCGCCACCAUGUCCGCGCAUCUGCAAUGAUGAUCCUGCGGAACUGCUCCAGUUUCCUGAUCAAGAGGAACAAGCCGCCCUACAGCACCGAGCCCAGUAACUUGAAGGCCCCAACUCCUUCCGCUACAACGCGCUGAUUCACCACAAGACUGUGGGCGUGGAGCCGGCAGCCGAGGGCAAAGGUGUGGUGGUGGUCAAGAAACGGAGAUCCGGCCAGCCGAAGCCUGCCACCUCCUACAUGCGGACCACCAUCAACAAGAAAGAUCGCGCCACGCUCAGCAGCAUCAGACACAUGAUCUGCAUGAACAAGCACCGCCCCGACCUGCGCAUGGCAGCCAUCCGCAGGGCCAGCGCAGCCUGUGAUGGCGAAGAGGAAGCGGACCCGCCCCACCAAGAGCUCCUGAGCCUCCUAGCCCCAAAGCAAUAAAGAGUCAGCUGGCUUUCUCA